UACGUAGGUGGCAAGCGUUGUCCGGAUUUACUGGGCGUAAAGAGCUCGUAGGCGGCUUGUCACGUCGAUUGUGAAAGCCCGAGGCUUAACCUCGGGUCUGCAGUCGAUACGGGCUAGCUAGAGUGUGGUAGGGGAGAUCGGAAUUCCUGGUGUAGCGGUGAAAUGCGUAGAUAUCGAGAGGAACACCAGUGGCGAAGGCGAGUCUCUGGACGACUCCUGACACUGAGGCACGAAAGCUAGGGGAGCAAACAGG
rnacentral:rRNA from 1 species